rnacentral:rRNA from 1 species
GACGAACGCUGGCGGCGUGCUUAACACAUGCAAGUCGAGCGGCAGCGCGGGAGCAAUCCUGGCGGCGAGUGGCGAACGGGUGAGUAAUACAUCGGAACGUGCCCAGUAAUGGGGGAUAGCCCGGCGAAAGCCGGAUUAAUACCGCAUACGACCUACGGGUGAAAGCGGGGGAUUCGCAAGAACCUCGCGUUAUUGGAGCGGCCGAUGUCAGAUUAGGUAGUUGGUGGGGUAAAGGCCCACCAAGCCUGCGAUCUGUAGUUGGUCUGAGAGGACGACCAGCCACACUGGGACUGAGACACGGCCCAGACUCCUACGGGAGGCAGCAGUGGGGAAUAUUGGACAAUGGGCGCAAGCCUGAUCCAGCGACGCCGCGUGUGUGAAGAAGGCCUG